GAUGAACGCUGGCGGCGUGCCUAAUACAUGCAAGUCGAGCGAACAGAUGAGGAGCUUGCUCCUCUGACGUUAGCGGCGGACGGGUGAGUAACACGUGGAUAACCUACCUAUAAGACUGGGAUAACUUCGGGAAACCGGAGCUAAUACCGGAUAAUAUAUUGAACCGCAUGGUUCAAUAGUGAAAGACGGUUUUGCUGUCACUUAUAGAUGGAUCCGCGCCGCAUUAGCUAGUUGGUAAGGUAACGGCUCACCAAGGCAACGAUGCGUAGCCGACCUGAGAGGGUGAUCGGCCACACUGGAGCUGAGACACGGUCCAGACUCCUACGGGAGGCAGCAGUAGGGAAUCUUCCGCAAUGGGCGAAAGCCUGACGGAGCAACGCCGCGUGAGUGAUGAAGGUCUUCGGAUCGUAAAACUCUGUUAUUAGGGAAGAACAAAUGUGUAAGUAACUAUGCACGUCUUGACGGUACCUAAUCAGAAAGCCACGGCUAACUACGUG
rnacentral:rRNA from 1 species